CUGGACCUCAGGGGCCUUCCUAGGUGACAGCACCUGGAUGUACUAGGAGAGUGACAUUCUGACCCCAUGAGGAGGGCAAGGCAGCUCUGGGACCCUCCCAGACUUCUCCCUGUGUAUCUCCUCAUUUGGCUGAUACUGAAUUGUAUGCUUUGCAACAAAACUAUAAUGGCAAGUAUAUUACUUUCCUGAUUUCUUAUGCAUUGUUCUAACAAGUGAUCAAAACUGUGAGGACUGGGAGAACCCCUAAAUGAGUGACCAGUGAGUCAGAAGUAUGAGUGGCCUGGGGGGAACUCUGUACUUGGUUCUGUGGUGGGGUGGCCAUGCAGAAGACUGAGUUCUUUUUUUUUUUUUUGGUGGGGGGAUGCCAAGGAUUGAAUUCAGGGGCACUGGACCACUGAACCACAUCCCCAGCCCUAUUUUGUAUUUUAUUUAGAGACAGGGUCUCACUGAGUUGCUUAGGACCUUGCUUUUGCUGAGGUUGGCUUUGAACAUGUGAUCCUCCUGCCUCAGCCUCCUGAGCCGCUGGGAUUACAGGCCUGCACCACUGCUCCUGGCAAAAGACUGAAUUCUUAACUCACGGGGUCUGUGCUCACACCGGGUGAUUACAGCCCAAAUUGAGGCAGUAUAUUAGUUCAUAUUAGAAUUAAAGAUAAGAUAAAAAUCCUUCAAGCAGGCUAAAAUACCCACCUGGUAUAUAACUCUGGGCAAAAUAUUUAAAGGCCUACCAAGGGUGACUGGCUGGGCUGAGCCCAAGGCUUACCUACUGAGCAUGGAGGAAGCGAACAAGACACUAAAAUCUAUUUCCACUCACUGAUAUGGGUAUAGGAUUUUGUCAAUGGGAAAUUGUGAGGAUUUAUUUUCAUUAAGGCAGUCUCCAGCAGGUAGAAAGGGGGACAUGGGAUAUGGAGGGAAUGAGGUAGGUUCUGCCUCCAUCUCUACUCCUUGAGCCAGUGUGCUCCUUAGUGGUAGAGAAAGGAGGGUCAGCUGCUGGAGGAGCAGUUGUCCUGGGAGAUUAUGGUAUAAGCAAGUGCUUGGGACCAGGGAACAAUUUGCAGCAAAGAGUUGGAAACUAGGUCAUUCUUCCCAUCUUACAUGGAAUGCACUUAAAAUCUUUUUUUUAAUUGUCAAAGGACCUUCAUUUUAUUUACUUAUAUGUGGUGCUGAGAAUUGAACCCAGUGCCUCACACAUGCUAGGCAAGCGCUCUACCACUGAGCCACAACCCGUGUCCCUGGAACUUUUAAUCUGAAUUUUUCCGGGAAUUUAGAAACCCAGACAGCACUGACAGGUUUAAACAAUGGUAUCCUCUUGCUAUGUACAAAUAAAAAAGAAAACAUGUCUAUCACUGGAUUAAUGCUCAGCUUCUAGCUCAAGAUUCUUCUCAAAGACCAUUUCUCUCUUGGCUCAGAUCUGCUUCACAGAAUGGUCAGGGUGUGCCGCUGAGACAGAAUUGUAGCAGAGAUUUCAUGAGGACUGCAAAGUUUAAAAUAUUUACAACCUGGCCUUUUACAGAAAAAAAAAACUAUAUAAUGCUAUAGAUGAUAUCCUCUGACAAAAAUGUAAAUUAACUAUGAUUAGUAAUAAUAAUUUGCUCCCAAAAACAACCAUAGACACUUUGAGCUCACAGGAUAUCCAUUAUAAAAGCUAUAUAAUAGAUGGAGGUGAGCAAUGAGAACACUGUAGAUCAAAACAUGUAGGAAUUCAGUAUCGACAAGCCCAUAUAACCACAGUCAUCUUAUUCGCAAAGUCUCCAAACACACACAUUGGAGAAAAGAUAGUUUCUUCAAUAAAUGGUGCCUGGAAAAUCCAUAUGCAACAAAAUGAAAUCAAACCCCUCUCUCUCACCAGGCACAAAUCUCAACUCAAAGAGGAUUCAGGACCUAGGAAUUAAACCAGAGACACUGUGUCUAUUAGAAUAAAAAGUAGGCCCAAAUAUCCACCAUGUUGGAUUAGACUCCGAUUGCACAAGAAUUAAAAUCAAGAAUCAAUAAGUUGGAUGGAUUCAAACUAAAAAGCUUCUUCUCAGCAAAAGAAACAAUCAGUGAGGUGAAUAGAGAGCCUACAUUAAAACAACAACAACAACAACAACAGUAAGUUAUGGUUACAUUUUUUGAAAAUAAUUAUUUUUUAGCUGUAGUUGGGCACAAUGCCUGGAUUUAAUUUAUUUAUUUAUAUAUGGUGCUAAGGAUCAAAUCCAGGGCCUCACAAGUACUGGACGAGAGCUCUACCACUGAGCCACAACCCCAACCCGAGAGCCUACAUUUUGGGAGCAAAUCUUUACCACUCGCACAUCAGAUAGAGCACUAAUCUCUAGGAUAUACAAAGAACUAAAAAAUCUUAACACCAAAAAAACAAAUAACCCAAUCAAUAAAUGGGCCAAGGAAGUGAACAGAAACUUCUCAGAAGAUGAUGUAUCAACAAAUAUAUGAAAAAAAAUGUUUAACAUUUCUAGUAAUUAGAGCAAUGCAAAUCAAAACUUCUCUAAGAUUUCACCUCACUCCAUAAUGGCACUUCAUAAUGGCAGCUAUCAAGAAUACAACAACAAUAAAUGUUGGCGAGAAUGUGGGGGGAAAGGCACACUCAUACACUGCUGGUGGGGUUGCAGAUUGGUGCAGCCAAUAUGGAAAACAGUAUGGAGAAUCCUUGGAAAACUGGGAAUGGAACCACCAUUUUACCAAGCUAUCCCUCUUUAGUCUAUACCCAAAGGAUUUAAAAGUAGCAUACUACAGGGACACAGCCACAUUGAUAUUUAUAGCAGCACAAUUCACAAUAGCUAAACUGUGGAACCAACACAGAUGCCCUUCAGUAGAUGAAUGGAUAAAGAAAAUAGCCAAAAUAUAUAUACACAAUGGAAUAUUAUUCAGCAUUAAAAGAGAAUAAAAUCAUGGCAUUUACAGGUAAAUGAAUGGAGUUGGAGAAUAUAAUGCUAAGUGAAGUUAGCCAAUCCCCCAAACCAAAUGCCAAAUGUUUUCUCUGAUUUAAGGAUGCUGAUUCACAAUGGGGUUGGGGAUGGGGAUAUGGGAGGAUUAGAUGAACUCUAGAUAGGGCAAAGGGGAAGGCGGGGAAGGCCAGGGAAAGAUGGUGGAAUGAGAUGGACAUCAAAUACCCUAAGUACAUGUAUGAAGACACGAAUGGUGUGACUCUACUUUAUGUACAACCAGAGAUAUGAAAAAUUGUGUUGUAUAUGUGUAAUAUUAAUUAUAGUGCAUUCUGCUGUCAUGUAUAUCAAAUUAAAAUUUAAAAAUAAAUUUCAAAACUCAAUAUUAUAUGUUUUGAUAUGUAGGGUCAAAUGAAUGCGUUUAUUAGAAAAUAAACAAUUGAGAACAAGGGGUUAGGCAUUUAACUCAGGAAAUUAUUUUCUAAAAAAAAAAAAAAAUAAUAAUAAUAAUAAUAAUAAUAAUGGAUGCAUAGUUAACCAAAAACGAGUCAGGAAUCAAGAAAGAAAUGAGGAAAUCGUGCCAGAUUAGAAGAGCAAAAUUAACAGUGAGAAUGAACAAAAGCAGAAGCUAAGAUUUGAAAAGAAGUUACACCUAUGAACUCUGGAAGUUUUGAUUAAGGAAAAAAGACCAACAACAAAAAAGGAAAGCAUAUAAAUAGGAAAAAAAAGAUAGUAAAAAAAAAAAAAAAAUAUAUAUAUAUAUAUAUAUAUAUAUAUAUAUAUAUCAUAACCUACACAAUGAACAACUUUCUGGCAAUAAAUCUGAAAAGUCAGACAAAACGGUUGUUUUUCCAGAAAAAGGUGCACUAUCAAAAUUGACUACUGAUUUAAAUUCUCAUGUCAUUAUUUUUUAAACCAUGAUUAUAAUGAUUAUGGUUAUGUGGUUAAAGAUCUAUUCAGGCUUUUAAUUUAUGCUUGAGUCAAUUUUGAUAGUGCACCUUUUUCUGGAAAAACAAAUAAACCUUUUUUAAAAAAAUAUUUUAGUUGUAGAUGGAAACAAUACGUUUACUUUAUUUUAUUUAUUUUUAUGUGGUGCCAAGGAACAAACCCAGUGCCUCACACACGCUAGGCAAGCGCUCAAACUCAGCCCCCCAAAACCAAUAAACCUUUAAAAGUCCCAAGCUUACAGUGAUCUAUGUGUAAAAUUUAUAAAAUUUUCCAAGAAAAGAAAAAAAACAACUUCUUAUAAAAGUACUGCUCAGAAGAGCAAGAACAAGAGAGAGAGAGAGAGAGAGAGAGAGAGAAUAAAUUGGAGAAAGACAAUGCAAGAAAAGAAAAAGCUCAAUCUCACCGAUGCAGAUGAAUAAAAACCUCCUAGAAAAAAUUUACAAAUUAAAUGCUUUAAUCUCUAAUAUACCAUACAUAAGCAUACUUCAUGCAAUAUUAUUAGUAUUAGAAAAUGUUAAUACAAUCAAUAAUAAUGUUACAGAUUAAAGAAGAAAAAACAGAGAGAUGCAAAAAAAAUAGCAUUUGAUGAAAUUCUCUCAUGAAACAUGUCCGCAAACUAAAAAUGAAUGUCAUUUCCUUAAUCACAUAAAUAUUACCUACUGAAAACCUAAACAGACUUACUAACAUGUAACAAGCAAAGAUUAGAAAGAGCACCUUUAAAAUGGGGCAUGAAAGAUGAGCUUGUUCUCAUCAGCAUUAUUCUGCAGAUCCAGACCUGGGUAAGAAAGGUGUGAGAGAGACAAAAGAAUUGGAAAGAAAAGCUAGAAACAAAAUUGUCAUUUACAAAGAACAGCAUUAGCAACACAGAGAGGGAAAGAGGAAGGACAGGUGGACACAAAACUGAUAGAAUACUGGCAUUUUCAUAAUAGACCACCAUUUAUGCAAGUCAAUAGGAAAAAGACGUUGCAUCUUAAAAAAUGGGGAAAAGGAGGGAUAAUUCACCCAAAACCAAAACCUACUUAGCCAACAUGUGUGUGUAAAAGAGGCUUAGCCUCUCUCUCUCUCUAGGACCCCCCUAGUUUGCAGCCCUGCUUUGCAAAGCACUAGUUUCUAAAGAAGAGAGUCCCCCAGAGCAGGGUAAGCAGAGGAAGUAGAGCCCACCUGGUGGGAGCCUGGGCAAUACUAGCAGGGGCUGGCUGGUCCGGGGUUGAACCUGCCACCUGGGGAGCAAGGCUGAGCCCUCAGGUCAAGCAGGGCUGCGUGGGGGAGACAUCAACCUUGCAUAGUCUCCUUUUCUCUUUAGGGAAAAGCAAAACAGAUGACUGGCUGUUGUAUGCAGCCCUUUAUAAGGCCAUCCUUAAAGGGGAGGUCCCUGGACCUCAUCCCUAAUAGGUUCUCAUCUGGGGCAAAACCAGAACCCCCUGGGGGGCUUGCAAACACACAGAAGCUGGUCCACUGAAUGUCCUGACCCAGUGGACCUAGGGUGAGCCCCACAGAGUUCAUUUCUAACAAGUUCCUGAGGUCCAGCACACACUCCAUGUCUGCAGCUAUCAGUAAUUUUAAGGUUGCUGCUCUCAAAGGCUGGGACAGCAGCUCGGAGGGCAUGAGAAGAUGAAGGAGCACUGAGCUGGGUCCACAGUCCUCUUGGCUCGGGAAUUGGUUGGUGCUCUGAAUAGCCUCGUCUUACUGAGAAUCAGGACGAGCCUAUACUCUUUCCUCACAACAGUUGGGGGCAGGAAAGGGUAAGAAAGAGGACCCGGCCUUGUAGGGACCAUAUGACUAUGAUUGGGAAUGUGUCUGUGGGCUGGAGUGGGAUGGAAAAUGCCCCAUGGCUGGGAGGUCAUGGUGCCCACCUGGAUGGUGCCUUUCACCAUAUCUGGGACCACUGUGGGGAGACACUCAGGGUAACCUGAUGUGUCCAGGGAUGGGGUGCGCAGGUGUCAUGGCCUCACAAAGCUACGUCAUUGUGUUCUGUUUCUUUCCCUCUUGUUUCUGCAUCUCUGCCAAAUUCUGGCACAACAGUUUUUCUUGGGAAGUAAAGUGAUGGGGCAGAGAGGGAGGUUGACAUUCAAAUAAGAAAGGGGGAUUAAGAAAGGAAAGCCAAGGAAGCUCUUCACCUACCUCUGGUAGCUAGUAUCCAGGCAAGGUUUAGUCUGUUAGCAAAAGUGGGUUUUGUUUUUGUUUGCUUUUUCUGUUUGUUUGUUUGUUUUAAGUUUUAUUUUCAUUUGGCAGCUUCUCCAGAGAUAAUGCAGAGGAUUUAACUAUGGUAAAUGCAAUGAGAUCUCAGUUUCUUUCUAUGCUGAUGGAAUCUCAUUUCAGCAUGGUCAGGCAGUAGCCAUAGAGACCUCUUUUCCUGCAGGACAUUAUAGGGCCAAGAAACAUGGAGUCCCCUGGGGGCAUAGGCUCAGAUGCUGGGUCCCUUUCCAUUUUAUGCUUGGACUUCCCUUGAAUGGCCCUGGACCUUGCUCUGUACACCUUGGCCGAGUGUUUUGGGAUGCUUGCAAAAAUAGUUCCCUGUAUCUGCGAAGGAUGUAUUCCAAUAUUCCAAUGAUAAUACCAAACCCUAAUAUAUGUAUGUAUGUGUGUAUAUAUAUAUAUAUAUAUAUAUAUAUAUAUUCCUUUUUAUACAUAAUUACGAAAAAGUGUCACCUUUUGACUUUCAAGCAAGCACUUUACGACUUUCCUUUGGCACAUCCAAAUUCUCACUGCUUUUGCACUUUGGAGCCAUUAUGAAGUAAAAUAAAGAUUACUCAAACAGAAACAGGGUGAUACCAUGACAAUGGAUCUGUAAUCAAGAUGGCUACUCAGUGACUAAUGAGUGGGUAGGUUAUACAGCAUGGAUAUACUGGGCAAAGGGACGAUUCAUAUUCUGACACUAGAUUUCAUUGUGCUUCUCAAAACAGCAUGCAAUUUAAAACUCAUAAAAUUGUUUACUUCUGGAAUUUUCCAUUUCAUAAUUUUGGACCCAACAGUUGACCAGAGGGAACUGAAAUCUUGGAAAGUGAAACUGUGGAUCAGGAGGCUUCUAUACUCUAGAGCUAGCUGGUGGAGCUCAUGAUGGUAUCUUCUGACAGUAGAACCUCCCAAUUCCAUAGCACUGCUCAGGGCUGUGAGGUGUCUUCAGACAAGAUAGGCCUGUGGUCACAUGCACUGCUGAGUAGAGACAGAGAGAUCCCACCCCAGGGAAGCACCAGAGGACCAAGAUAAUCCAGUCCCAUGAGUGGGACAAGCUGACCCUCCUGCAGCCCUGCUUACCUGUUCCCAGGCAGGUGGUCAGGGGAGGGGCAGCUGGCUCUCCCUCCUUCCUCCAAAUGCUGCAGUCCCUGCUCAUUCCUCCAUGCCACAAGCCUCCUGCUGAUGAGGCAGUGGCAGGAGCGACUGUCUCCUUCAGGAAUGUGCCAUGUUUCUGAGCCCAUGACAAUGACACCUGUGUCAUUCAUAUGUACAAAAGCCAGAUAUAGCAUCCCCCAUGCAGCGCUCCUGGUCCUCUGUGGAAUGGGCCCUUAUGUGUCCUACCAGUGGGCCCUAGGAUGUGGACAAGAGCCUUUCCUCCUGAUGACCAGGCCAUCACCAUUUGGCAAACCAGUUGUUUGGUUUUUGUGGGGGCCACACCAGCACAGCAGCCUGGGCUGAUGUCAUGGCCAGGUGGACCUGGGGACCACACCAGUUUCAACACCCAGCCGCAGCCUGUCCUGCCAUUUGCAAGAAACAAAACACAAACAAAAUGCAUGGGAGUGUCUGACCUGUUUGCAGAUGGCUUUAGUCAUGUGCUGGGAAACCUCUGCUGCAGGGAGUUUUCUCUUACCAGGCCUCCUCAGGCACACGGGAGAGAGGUUCCCAGGGAGAUGAUAAGGAAUGAAGAAAGGGAAAGAGAGAGGGUAAGAAGCCGAGGGCAGGGGAAGAACAUGACGGUCAAGGGAGCUUGCUCUGUGGCCACUGAGUCCAAGUCCUCGGACCCCAGGCCCUAUAGUGUGGGUCAAGUUCGUUGUACGUGUCAAGUGUGCUGGGUGGUGGAGCCAGGUAAGCGGUCAAGCUUUAUCCUGGUGUCUCUGUGACAGCCUUUGGACUUGAUCCACCUCACGGGGCUCUUCCACCUCUUGCCUGCCAGCCAUGGUGAUUUUAGACUUGGUAGCCUCCAUAAUUGUAGAAGCCAAUUCCUUGAAAUCAAUCAAUCUAUCUAUCUAUCAAUCAUAUAUCUAUCAUCUGUCUGUCUGUCUGUCUAUGGUUGUCUCUCAGUAUCCAAGGUAGAAUGGUUCCAGGAUCCCCCAACCCUGGUGGUGGAUAUCAAAUUUCACAGUUGCUCAAGUCUCUCAUAUGGAAUGAUGAAGUAUUUGCAUGCAACCCAUGAGCCUCCUCCUGUGUACUUUAAACCAUCUCUAGAUCACUUACAAUACCUGAUACCAUGUAAAUGAUACAUAAAUAGUUGUUAUGCUGUAUCAUUAGAGAGUAAGGGUAUGAAAAAAAAUCUGUACAUGUUUAGUGCAAAUUAAAUAUUUGUUUUUCAAUAUUUUAUCUUCAGUUAAUUGAAUCAGCAGAUGUAGAACAUAUAGACAUGGAAAGCCAACUCUAUCUAUCAAUCUAUCUAUCUAUCUAUCUCUCUACAUCAUCAUCUACCAUUUAUCUGCCAUUUAUCAUCUAUUUAUCUAUCUAUUCUCUAUCAUCUAUCAUUUAUCAUCUGUCUAUCCUGUUUAUCUGUCUAGUGUCAUCUAUCACCUGCCUGUCUACCUAUCCAUCCAUCCAUCUACCCAUACAUACAUGCAUCCCCAGUUCUGUUUCUCUACAGGAUCCUGAUGCCCCCAUUCCCCACUCCUCAGGCUCCACUCAUCCUCCUCAGCCUGCCCACAUUCCCAGCAGUUGAGGGUUCGGAUGCGGAACAGUCACUGAACAGUGGAGGUUGAAUGAAAGGAGAAAAGUAGAAUUAAGGGUACGUGUAGGCUCCAGGAGGCUGACAUCACACCGAUUUCUCAUUUUCCUGGAGGAGAUGCCAUUCUUUCCCCUAAUUUUCAAAAGAUUUGUCUGUGGCCUAAAGAAGGUUAAGAGGAGGACUAAGAAAUCCUGAAAUAGCUCAUGGAACCACGAACCACGGCCCCCAGCAGGUUUGUAGAAUUGUGAAGGCCUGGUCAUCAGAAGUAAGGCUCUUUUCCAUAUCUCAGGGCCCAGUGGUUUGGUUUUCCCAUUAAGAGGGAAAAACAAAGUAAAUACACCAGGGAAAAUAAGAAGGAGGGGGCCAGGUCAAAGACAAGGGAGCCAUGCUACAUGUGGAGAAGUGAUUUGUUCUGUUUCUCUGUCACUGAAGACGUACUAGAUGUUAUGAGGGAAGGCAGCACAAAACUGUACACAUUAUUGCUGGUAUUAUAACCUGAAUCCUCAGACAUCAUAACUGAAUUUUUUAAAGUCUUUGAGAACCUCUUUCAGUGCUCUGCUGAUCUGUACUCUGUACGUUUCAAUAAGCUGGACUCCCCAGCCCCCUAAAAUGGACGGUUUGAUUUAGAUUGAGGCAUGCAGAGAUGAAGAAAACUCCUUUUUUUCUUUCUCCUUUCUAUCCAAUCAGGAAGUCACAGGACCGAAUUUCCCUAUUUUGUCAGUCCUAUACCUUGAAGCCCACACUAUUCCAGUAGCACGGAACUGACAAGGGAAUGCCCACACCAGAGAUUUAUCUGCCCAUCUACAGCAUGCCUGUCAUCCAAGGGGGCUACCUACAGAGCGACAGUCGUUCAUAAAGCCAUCAGUCAGAAACUUAUUUCAUGAAAGUCUCCAGUGAGAAAACAGAAUUUAGCUUUUUGAAUGUUAAAUUUAUGCUACUAGAGAUUCUUCUAAUAGAGGAGUAUAAAUUCCAAGCUGCGCAUGGCUCUGGAAAACCUUUUAAUGAACAAACGAAAAUAAUUAGAAUCCUGUUGGGAUUGGCCGAGGAGCAGAAAAGAAAUGGUCCACUCUGAGUGUCAACCAAGUCUCCUCCCAGGGCUGCACGGGGAAGAAAGAUGGAUUGGUUGUCUGUAAGAUUUGGCAAGGGACACUAACAAUCAGAGUGACCAUGGCGUGGAUGUAACAGCAGCUCACCUUGGUCACAGAACGGCUUGCUGUACUAAGAAUUUUACAUAAAUGCUAGUUCUCAUUCCUUUAUCUUAUUGAAUCAUUCCACCAACUCUUCUGUGACCACCCUUAGUUACUGAGCAGAACUGGGACUUAGAGCCACUGGCAAAUUGAUCAGCUGCCCACAAAAGCCUGGGUAGGGUACAGGGAGGAUUUGGACCUAACCUGUGCACACCAACAAAGCCCUCUCUUGCCCAGUGUCCACUUUGAAUCUCAUGGGAGGACAGGGGAGUAAAUACCAACAGAGUGGGCCCAGGGAGCCCUCGUGGGGGGGUGUGGGUGAAUGAGGCAUUCACUUACAGCCUUGCCCCAGUGUUUAGCUGGGGUCCCUAGACCCAAAGAACCUGGUCUCCCAGAGUCAGUGAGUGUAAAGAAGUAACAAAUGUGUUUCUUGUUUAUUCCAACAUUAAUUCUGUACCAGAUCAUGGCCUCCUUUAAGACACGCUAUAACGUCAGAUGCCUUGUGCUGUUUUCUUUCUUGCCUGAAAUUGUUCUUUGUUAACAAGGAGGCCCUUUUGUUGAGUUUUACUGGGCAACUUAACAUCUUUCGUCAGUCUCUGGCAGCGCUUCCAGAGUGUUCUGUAAGCUAUGAUUCGCUCCAAAGGCAGAACGGCCCGUCGGGCUGGGGCGUGUGCAGAUGGUACUGUUGAUACUCUGCAGGAGGAUCAGCUGGGCGGCCUGGCUGAGGCAGACCACAUCAAAGCUGUCUUUGUGCGGCUCCGUCCUGCCUUGUCCUGGCUCCAGCUUCUGCAAGGGCUUGCUUCAAACGUUCACAACCGGCAUCACGUCCAGUGACGACAUCAUUACAAUUCAUACGCAGACAACAAAUUGCAAGCACUUCUGUGUUGGGAAACAGUAAGCGCAUAUUUAUCCCGAGGAAUACUGUAGUGGAGAAUGUCCCCAUCUAGCAGGAAGUCAUUUCGAUGGAUAGGUUUGAGGUUUGUCAUCAAGAAGACUGAUUUGCAUGCUGCUCCAGCCCAACUUGGUCAGGAAGCAGGUUCCAGUAUCAGCAUCUCACCCACAGCACCUACGUUAUCCACCCCAACCCCGAGCUCAGCAGGGCCAUGUCGAUUUUAACAAGUUCCUGUUCAGAUCAAAUGUCCACUGAUCUUUCCUGUGGGUGCUGCCUAUCAAGGAUACCUUCUCUCCAACAAAACCAACACUUCAGUUAUUCGGUUCUUUACUGCAUGUCAGGCACUGGCCUAGGUACUUGGCAAAUAUGUGCUCUUCGUGGCCACUCAAUGGAUGUAGGCACCGUCAUCAUGUCCAUUUUGCAGAUGAGAAGUGGAGGUAAGAGAGGCUAAAUAGCACCCGCGUGCUCACAAAGCUAAGGAAAGGUUGGAAUUGGCUGCUAACUCUGGGAACACCCAAACCUAGAGGCCUCUGUCACUUCCUAGACAGAUAUGUUUCUGGGGAUUGAACUGAAACAGGAAGGAAGCUCUUCCCAGCCCCAUAAGAAGCCACCAGGUCAUGAAGCACCCCUGUGCCUCCUUGGUUGGACCUAAGGAGACUGCCAUAGUGGCAUUUUGGACUAGGUGGAUAUUGGAGGCUGCACAGAGGACUUUGAAUGAAAGCUUUGCUGCCAACUAGCUGUGUGGCCUUGCUCAUUUGUCUUCACCGGCAAAAGGAGGACAAUAAUACUAACCCCCACAGACUGUGCAAAGGAAUAAUUGUCAAAAUGCCCUAAAGCAGAGUAAGGUAGACAAAAAAUGGAGAUUUAAAAACAUUUUUAAAUGUUUUUAAAUACUUUAAAAAAUAUCUUAAAAAUAUUUUUCAUAGUCCUUUGAGAAGUGACUCUGUCCUAAAAAGCAAAUUAAUGUUGAGCUUAAAAUAAUAUUUUAAUUGAAGAUUAUUUAACACUCGUGAUUUUAAAAAUAAAAAUAUAAGGACUCUACGGCCCCUCACCACCACUCCGUAAUUGUGCCAACUUUUCUAGCACCAUGCUACAGCUAGGCAGUAAGAAAAACUCAGCUCUGGUCUUGUCUACUUGAAUUUUGUUUCAAUUUGGUUUUGGUGGGUGUCACUGAUCCCACUCUGUAAGGUGACAGUGAGGAGAGAGGGCAGAACAGCCCUUCCUAUCCCUGUCCUCUGAGACAAUGGCCCUCACACUUUCCAUUUCUCCAGCUACCCAGGCAGCUGUCCAAGUUGGCACCAGGAGACCUUCACUUUGCCAAAGGAGACAGUCAGGUCUAUCAGCUGCCCCACCUCAGUAAGUCCCGAUGGGCAUGACCCAUUCUGCAGCGAAUUCCCUGGUGGACUCCUGGACCUUCCUAUAGGUAAUGAAAGGAUGUGGGAACCGAGCAUAGAGCCCAGGCCACUCUUUCCUGCCUCUAACCAAACCCAGAGUGUAUUCUCCAAACUAGUAACUGUGCAAUAUUCUACAGUGUCCCAGGUGGCGUGCUCCGUUGCCUGCUGAGACAAUAUGUUUUGUAGUACCUUUCAGGGAGAGGUGUACCUGGGAAAGAGUGAGGGAGGUCGCUUCAGGGGCAAGGGAGCCCUGUGGACUACAGAACCAUGGGCAAGAAAUGGGAACGAAGAUUGGGUCCCUCCCCAAGGUCAUUCAUGGAGGACUUUUGUAAGACCACAAUUGGCAAGCAUGGCUCAAAGAGGUGAUCGUGCAGCACAGGCUGCCAACAGGGGAAAUGCAGUGACCCAGGUGCAGAGGCUGGCACCCUUGGACACGGGGAUUCAUGAGUGUGGAGGAUGGCGAGGGAAGGACAGAGCCUCUAUGCCAGUAGAUGUUGUGCAAUAUAAUGUGUGGGUGCUGCAAUCCAGGACAAGGUGUAAGUCGAGGUCCUAGAAUGGGGUGAUGUUUACAAGAGACCAACAGCAAGCUCUGUAUACACACUCAUCAUCCAUCCAUCCAGCCUUCCCUCCACCCAUCCCUGCACUCCAUUCUUUGUAAUCAUUCAUUUUAGUACAAGGAAUGAACAAAAAUAUGAAAUAUAAUUUUUCCUCUUGGAAGGGCAAAGCCAAGUAACUUCAGCCAAGAAAAUGUGCCCUGUGCCUUCAGUGACCCACAUUCUUUGCCUCCCCUGGAAGCAGUAAAGGUCUGCCCACAGCGCACUGGUAACUGCAUAGAGGAAGGCUGGAAUGGAGAGGGCAGACGAGCUUUCAAAACAGUGGCUGCAUCUCCCAGUGGAGAGCAGGAUCCAUUGGAUGGUGUCUCCACGUUUCCGUUUAGUGGGUGGGGGAAGUAUUGGAAAGAGCACAGGAAUGCAGAAACCUCUUUUUCUGUUGUUGGGGGGAAAAAAACCCCAUAAACUCAGUAGCUUGUAAAAAAUAGACAUUUGUUAUCUCACUGUUUCUAUGGGUCACGAGAACAAAUUCCCUGCUCCGUUAGAGUCCCAGGGCCAAAUAUUUACUAUUUAUCCAGGCCUAUGGAUAAAGGCUGGAUACUGUUUAUGUAUCAUCUGCAACUGACCUGAGACCCAGCUGACAGCAAGGUUUUUUCCAGAUGAAAGAAUCCAGGUUCAGUGGAAUUCUACUGAGUUCCUACUACACACUUGAAAGGUCAGUCAGUUUCACAAGCCCAGUCUUUCAGCCUGGGAAGAACUCGGGCUGUGGAAUAAAGGGGAGAGGAAGGUCUCAUCGGGACCCUUAAUAUCAGCAGCAGCUAGGCUUCUCUCCAAGCCAGGAUAGUUAAUGCCAACAUUAUCCUUUAUUAGCUAUUAAAAACUAGCUAUGGCUUCCCUUUGGUGUGUGAAGAAUCAUGAUUACUGCAGAAGAAAUUAUUCGGCAAUGCAACAUGAUAUAAAGUGCCAACAUUGAUUACAAUAUUUUCACAAAAGGUUUUCUUCCAGGAAAUAACACAACUAUUUGGAGACCCCAGAUGACAUCCUAUGACAUAGUUCUUCCUCUCACCUCCAUUUGUCCAAACACAAGAAAUAAGGGGAUCUUUUCCUUAAUACUUAGAUAUCCCUGUCGGCCAUUUAAGGCAUUUGAAUCUCUUGGAGAACUAAGACCUGUCUUCCUUAGAUGCCAGAGGAAUGAAUUUGUAAAAAACUUUGAUGUGAUUGUUCUUCCCACCUUCUUUGAUGUGCCCUCUUCUCCCUUCACCCAGGGCCCUGCAUUGUCUGAUAUAAAGAAAAAGAGACAAUGUUUAGCCUUUAAAUUUCAGAAGAGAUUUUUGAAGCACUCAAGGAGAAAAUGGUCUUGCCAGACAGGAUUUGUGAGGACAAAUGGAGUUUGGUAUCCCCAAACUUGCUGUCAUCUGUAAACAACAAAGGUGAGAAUUACCAGAGGCUCUGCAAAGGGGAAGCCCCCAUAGGGAGGUUGAGGAUGCUCUCCUGCCGCAGGUAGGCACAUGGGUGCAUUGAGAGAGAGAGAGAGAGAGAGAGAGAGAGAGGUUUGCAUGGAAGAGCAAGGCUAAGGUGGGGUUGUCAUCAGUCUUUAGCUCCACUGCCUCCAUGAGAGGGCACAGACCCAGGAUGACAUGGGGUUCAGAGUGCAGAGCAGACUUUCUAGCUAUGACCAAGCAGCAAUGUCCGAGAGUGAAGCUUAACACAGCAGCCUGGCCUAGACACCCCUUCCCUGUGGGACCUGGGGGACAAGGACUAUGACUCAUGCUUCUGGCUAGAGUUUGUGGGAGCACCAGAGCAAGGUGAGCAAGGACCCCAGAAUAGGGCCCAAAGGGUGAGAUCCCAUGGGAAUUGCACAUAGCUCUUUUAAGAAUUUGUGUCCCCAGAGGGCCAGUGUGAGAGACUCCUGGGAGAGGGUCUUGAGCCUUGUUCAUACAGCAUCAGGAAUGGAGGCAUCUGCAGAGCAAAAGGAGCCAGUUGCUAAGGUGGUAGUCCUGGACCACCAGCCUUGCGCAGUGCCACAGGGCCUAGGUGCACCUCCCAGCACCCAGAGGCCUCUUGGGACAGAGAAGUAACGAGGCAGUUGCUUAAAGGGGUGUCUCUGACAGCUGGAGUGCACUAAGGAGAGGCUCAGCAUAUACCCCAAAGGACCUUAGGAAACCCCAAAGAGGGGCCCAAAUGGAGGCAAUGGUACUUGGUGAGCUUCAAUGGUACAUUCGAUUUUCCCCAAUAGCAGUUAAAAAAUAAAGAAAAUGACAGCUGUUAUUUGCACAUGAGAAUGAUUUGAGUACGGUUUGUGCCUCUGAAUCUCACGUAGAAUAUCUGAUUGCUGUCAUGGCAUGUUAGAAGGGAAUAGUGCCUUUCUCUUGGGUCUAGGCUAAUUCUUGGAGUUGGGACUUAUUGUUCUUGCCGUGUUGGAGUAAUUGCUGCAGCAGUGAGUUGUUACAAAGUGGGCCACCCUUUGUGUUUUGCUGCUUCUGCACACACCACCCACUUGCCCUUCCAUCUUCUGCCAUGAGCUGAAGUAGCACAGGGCCCUUACCAGAAACAGCUGCCCAAUCUCGGGCAUUCCCACCUUCAGAUUUGUGUGCUAAAUAACCUCUCAUGUCUGGUACUUUUUUAUAGCAACAGAAAGUGGAAUAGGGUAACAUACAUUUUACCAGACCAUGUCUGGAUUUAAAAAUGCAUUGCAACUGAGGAUCAGAAAAAUGUUGAGGGUAAUGCAACCCGGAGCUUGCUGUAAGCUGUGGUUUUUCCCAAGUUCUAUGUCAGAGUGUUUUGACUUGCAGCAGGAGUCUCUACAACUCCACGUAGACCUCUCUGUUAGGAAACUGGUGCUGCAGCACCAAGAAGUGUUGGGAAGGAGCUGAUAUUCCAGCCCCAGCAGUGAUCCAAUUUUGAGUGGACUGCAAAUAAGCUGUUAGAGUUGGAGGCACCCGGACCUUUCUAGUCUAGUGUUUUAGGAUCACCAAUAAGGCAACCGUGCUUACCUGGCUUAAUCUGGAUUUAUCCCAGGAGGAUUUAAAAUUAAAGUGAGGAUUUCCAUUCAAGUUUCCUCAUUUCCUAGUCACUUCUGAGCAGACUGCUCAGGUCCGAGGCAGGACAGAGGACCUCCAAUGUCCCUGUCACAUCCUCUGCCUCCCCAACUUCUUGCUUGUUGAAAUAACCCAUUACCUUUUUUUUUUUUUUAAGCAGGUUGGGCCAAAACUAGAAAGAAAUAUGGCAGCGACUUUAGGAACUCUCUAGCUCAUGCCACCUUUGGUCCUUUUUCUUGGGGAGCCCUUUUUAGGAAAGGGAAUUAGUUUCCCAGGAUGCAAUUUUGAAUCAGCCCUGGCUGCUGAGAGUGGCCACUGGCCGCUGAGGGCAAGCAGCUCGUGCCAACUGAACACGGCCAGGAAUGACGACUUCAUAAUGCUCCUGGGGAGCCCCACUAAUUACCCAAUGGACGAUUUCAGGCCCAGUCAGUCUCUGAUGAGUCCUAGAUGGCAGGCAAGUGUCGAAACUUGCCCUCAGACUUGGAGGCUUCAUGCAGCAAGUCAGGGGGAUGACGGGGUGGAUUUUCCAGUCACACUGCCAAAGGGGCGGUGGUGUCCACCCGCCGUGGUGCUGCUUCUGUGCCAUACAGAGCUGUGUUCUGGCCUGCAGAGGCACAGUGAGUCUUGCUGCUUGAGGGAAAGAUGGCCAUAAGCAAGUCUUAACUCUCCGCAUCCCAUCUCUGCUUCCAGAAAGCCAUAAGGCUUAAGUUCUAGGUGGCAGAAUAAAUCAGCAGUGGAAUUCAAGUCGAGCAUUUCAUGUCCUUAUUCCUGUGUGCCCCCCAUGAACUCUUGCAUCUUCUGUCAAAUGUCUUCUCAGGCCCUACUGCCCCCCCCACCCCAAUACACAUGCUUCCCAAAUUGGGAUGCCACCUGCUCCUUACCUACAGGAAACGUGCCUGGUAGCAUUGGCAGUGUCCUACUUGGGGGGUAGGGGUCAGAGCUCUCAAAUUUUAAAAGAAAAUUCACCCCCUCCCAAGAAUUUUUCUCUCCUUUUUUUCUUAGCAAUGCUCAAUUAUAAGAUACACUGUUUUUUAACUACAGUGUUGAAACUGAGCAGUAGGUCUCCAGAAUUUGCUCAUCCAACUGGCAACUGCAAACCCUUUGACCAACAUUCUCACCCACCCCCCCCAUGCCUCCCCCGAGUCCCUGGCAACCACUGCUUCUGUGAGUUCAAAGUUUUCAGAAUUCCCCCAGGAAUUAUGUUCUGGGACUACAAUAUUUUAAAAUGCUCUAAAAAUAUAACUAUUUGUUAAUCCAGGGCACUCAUCUGAGCGCCCAGUCUUGGGGGUUGAGUAAGAAUUCCCAGGGGGCAUCUAAGGGUAGCGUGGAGUGUACCUAAGACAACGGCCAACCGUGUCCACGUUGGGGCAGUCGUAGAAUGGGGCUGUUUCAAGCAUCUGGUUGAAAGUGUUUGAUUUUGCUCUCUCUCUCCCUCGUCCACCUUUUUUCUUGCCUUAGGUGAGGGAACGAUGACGGGGACAGCAUAGUCACUUACGCACACGUUGGCCGAUUGUCCAGGCAAACGUUUUACUAUUUUGUGAUGGGUUUCACAAAAGAGGAAUGAACGGUCAAUUUCUGAAAUGUUUCCAGAGGUCCUCUAACGAGAACCAACUUAAUUCGAGUUAGAGGAUAGUUUUGAUAAAUACAGAAAAUAAUGGACAGCAAAACUCCACUACUCCUGGCCUUUUCCGCAUGCACACAGUGUGGUUUUUAAAACUGGAAAGUACUGGUUUCUAAAUCUUAGUUUGCUAGGGUCACUGUUACAAGUGCUUUAGACUGGACGGCCUAAACAGCAGAAAUCUCUCAUCUUACCAUUCUGAAGCCAGAAGUUGGAGAUCCAAGUGUCACGCUCGUUGGUUCCUUUGGGGGCUGGGGCGAGAACCUGUUCCAGCCUUUCCCCUUAGCUCAUAGAUGGCCAUCUUUCUGCAUCCCUACAUGGUUGUCCCUCUGAGGGUUCCUAUGUCCAAGUUUCUUCUAAUAAGAGCACCAGUCAUUUUGGGUUAGCACUCACCCUAAUGACCUCCCAUAACUUUAUAAUUAUGUGCCUCUGUAAAGACCUUCUCAACACAUAAGGUCACAUUUUUAGGUCCUGGGGGUUAGAACUUCAUGUGAACUUGGCCUGGUGAAAUGAUCCAACCCAGAAGAGUUUCCCUAUGACAUGCACGGUCAGUAGGCAGCUGGGAUGUAGAUUUAGGGGUGGGCUGUGCUCAGCAUGCUAAAGACCCUGGGUCAGUCCCCAACCUGAAGAACAAAGAUAAAAACAAGUCAGCUUGCAGGACAGCAUUCUCUGCCAUCUGUACCCGAUAAACUCCCCUGGCAAAGUAACAGGAUUCUAGAAUUCCUCCUUCUCUGGAGGUUUGGAUUUAAAUGGAUGAGGUUGUAAGGCUACGUGGCUUCAUGCCCUGAGUGUCUAUUUGGUAAGGACAUUGUAAGAUAAACAACCUUCUUACUGAUUGUUUUCAUAUUUCUAUUAAUAACCUUUUCCCUUUCUUUGAUAAAAAAGGCCACUUCCUGCCCUAUAUCCUUUCACGGUUAGGGACGUCUCUCUCGACUCAUUUUCUUUUUCCACAUAUUCCACAUACUCUCCCUCCUUCGGGGCAGCCAAGAUUCUCAGAGUGUGCAGAAUUCUUCCUUUCUUUAUGCCUUUGCAUUGAGCAUUUAAGACAUACAACUAGAUUUUUCUCUAUUCCGCACAAUUCAGUCCUUUCUUGGCUGCCAGUUUCAUGUUGUGUAUGGAUUAGGUGCCACCAUUACAUAGACUCUGACUUUCACCUGUCCCUUUAAAAGUCACUUGUCUCCAGUUAUAUCAUAAACUGCUUAUAUAUGUGUCCCCUCCAGUCCAAGGACGGUGGUAAACAAAGAGUAGGUGUUCAAUAAAUACUUGUGAUUGGCUGUUCUCAUUUUUUCAGGAUUCCUAGUGCAUGUUUGUCAAAGAACUAGAAAGUGGUAAAAUAGAUAUUACUCAAUGUUGCAAUGGGGGGGGAAAGACCUCAGCACAGAGCUGGGCUCCACUCCAAGUACAAUAAGGAAAAGUGAGAAUCUACAGCCAAGGAGCAGGGCGGGGGUCACUGGAUGGAAAAUUCCUGAGCAGAAGCGUCAAGCGGGAUUCUCGACAAAGACGGGCCCAGUGACCAGACAUCACCUUGUGGGGAGGGGUCGGGGGUGGGAGGUGAGGAGUUGGAUGGGAUAACAAGGGAGAGCAGAUGCUGAUGACAAUGGGUACUGGUUAAAUAGCCAUCGUGACGUUCAUCAGGCUCUCGUAGGACAUGACCAAGGUCAAGACCUAGUCAGCACUGAAGAAACCCCUCUAAAGUCUGGUCAAGGGAGACAAGCUUCAUUACACUACCUCUUUGCCACUUGAGGGGUAGAAGCGUCAGAAUGCAAGAAGGAUAGUCUGCCUCCCGGUGCUCUUUUGGGAGGUACGACCAGAGAGGCCUUCAGAACCAGCAGGAGGAAUCCCUGCUAUAGACUUCAUAUUCUGGAGGACUCCAAGUGUUGUACACACACACACAAACAAGAACAUGCAGGCACAGACACACCUGCAGACACGCACACACAUACCACACCCGCAUACACACACAAAUACAUACGUACACAUACCUUUCCAAACACACAGAGACACAUAUAUGUGCAUACAAACAUACAGAUGCACACAUAUGCCCCACUUACAAACAUACACACACGAACACAAGUACACACACAUUCAUUAAAGAAUAUCUAGAAUCCUGCAUCUAGUAACAAUACUUCUCACUUGAGGUUGUUAUUUUUUGUAGUAGGUUUACCAAAUCAUGAUAAAUUACAAUAACUUUUUAAAGUUUUCUCUUUUCUUUUAGUUGUGGAUGGACCUUUAUUUUAUUUCUAUGUGGUGCUGAGAAUCCCACCCAGUGCCUCACACAUGCUAGGCAAGCCCUCUGUCACUGAGCUACAGCCCCAGCCCCAUGACAAAUCUGACUAGGAAGAGAUGCGAUCCUACAGUGGUAACGCCCACUCUCCACUAACACGGGAGACUGUUGCCCGUGAGGUUCUCUCCCCACUCCUUUCUCGAUUGGGAUUCACAUAGUUGUAUUCAAGUAUCAAACAGGAUAAUGAGUCUGGUAUAUGAUGGAUAGUUCUAGGACAAAAUUUCUCAUCUCUACCAUCAAAUCCUCUUGGAUUCACUUCGAUAUCUGUCUUGAUUCUUUCUGCAUCGUUUCAUCUUACGGCUUGUUAUGGCUUGGAGAUGAGAUGUCCUCCCAGAGCUUCUGUGUUGACAUGGGGAUAUUUGGGGGUACAUGAUUGCAGUAGGAGAGCUGUGGUCUAAUCAGUCCGUCCUAGUUUGAAUGGACUGACUGGGUGGUGACCGUGGGCGGGUGGGGUGUGGCUAGAGGAGGUGGGUCACUGGAGACGUGCCCUGGAGGGGCUCAUGUUUCCUGUGGCCCCUUUCGCUCUCCCUCUUCCAGGUGGCCAUGAACUGAGCAGCACUCCUUCACCAAGCCCUUCCACCCUGAUGUUCUGCCUCACCUUGGGCCUAGAGCAAGGGAGUCGGCCCACCGUGGAUUAAACCUCAAAACCAUGAGCCCAAAUAGACUUUUCCUCCUCUGCGUUGUCCUUGUUCAUGGUGAAACAAAGAUGAGUGUACAAACAAGCCCACCUGGCUCCUCCUCAAGGUCGUCAUCGUCUCUGGCCUCAACUCUGUGUCAGCCCUUAGUGCAUCUCCGCUGUGGCCUCAUGCAGGUCAUUCUGCACUGGGUCGCCACAGUGAUCGGCAUGUAAGUGUUGACGUUGCUUCCCCACCUAAAACCUUCCAGCAACUUCCAUUGCACCACACCUACAACUGAAAUCCCUUCCUAUGGCAACGGACUGUCCUGAUGGAACCCUGGCCUCCUUCACCAGUGUCAUAUGGGGCUACAGUCCCCCAAACACUGGAGUCAGCCCUAGGACCUUUACAACACCCGACAUGCUAAGCUUCUCAGCCUCAGGACUUUGGGACUCACUCAUCCUGUUAUACCCACCUGUCCACCUGACCAGCUUCUUCUCAUGCUCCAGUGUCUGUUGAAGGCUCAUUUCCCCAGAGGUGCCUCCCCUGACCACCCCAUCUCAAACGCAGCCCGUCUCACUAAUUCCUGUCUUCCCACUGCCCAGUCAAUGUCUUCCUAGCCGUCAGUGCUACCUGACAUUGUCUAUGCGCCCCCUUCCUAGUGACCUCUUAUUACCUCAACUAGAGUGGGAGGUCCUCAGGACAUUCCUGUUGAAUAGAUAUCUUCAGGGGAAUAAAGGACCUUUAUUUUGAUCUUACGGCAAAUGUAAAGAAAAGUCGCACAGAUGUGUGCAAAUCUUACUGUACAUCUCCAUGGAUUAGAUAAAGAAGAUUUCUUUCUGUUCCCUAUUUUCCCUACCCCAGUAUCUCCUCUUACCUUUAAGGAGUAAGGUUUUGACAUUGUUGAUGGAACUUACUAGGUUCUUCUCACAUCUUUAUCUUAGCUCAUGAGCCCUCCCCUAGAUGCACCUUGUCUGCUUUUUGUAGAAGGAACUUUCCUAUCUCGUUCCCCACUGCAGAGUGCUCUGCUGCUGAGUUGCAGAAACAUUUUAGCUCACAGAUGUCCACUUUUUAAACAGUGCUGUCUCUGCUUCUUUGAAAAAUGCCAGCCAUUUAAUCAUGCCUUCUGCUUCAAGUUCACCGUGACGAUGGCUAAUAAGCUUGGGAUUGUUC
rnacentral:lncRNA from 1 species